rnacentral:lncRNA from 1 species
CGGCGCUGCACGAAGCGCGGCCGCGCGGAGCAGCACGGAGCAGCACGCGGCGGGGCCGAGCACGCGGCGCUCGCUGCACGCUGCACUCGGAGCCCGCGAGCAGCGGAACAGCGCCCCCUACCGGCAGCACCGAGCCGCGCAGAGCCGCGUUACCAGCGCGGAGCCGCCCGCCCCGCCCCUCUGAGGGUCCUGGAAGCGCUCAAAGCCAAACGGAGAAAACAACGGCCCCAACCGAUGCUAUCUACCAGAGCGUUGUUGCGCUAUAGGAGCUUUUUGCGCGUGCGGUGUGUGCAAAAACGUGUUGCUGCCAUUUACCCGGAGCACUAAGUGAUUCCUGGAAAACUGGUGGUGAACUGGAUUCCACGAGUUGCUAGGACCGAACCUGUUACUGGUGUGAUGUUAACGGGAGCUUAUUGCCAUCGCUAAAGCCUUCAGCAGGCCUGAAGUUUUUGCAAAGCACUUAGGGAGGAAGCAGGACUCUGCGUCUGAAACGGAUUAUUUUUAUUUUCUUAAUUAUUGUUGGAUCUACUGCACUUCGUCACAGCAAGGAGAGGAAGAAGAGGGAAGGAGGAAGCGAGGAGAGAAAGAGGAGAGUAUUAAAAGAGUCGUGGAAAAGGAUGUCGGUAAGAUUUAUGGUUCAUAUAUUGCUAUGGAAAGGCUGUGGGUGGUGAGGAGCACGCUGUGGCAGUAAUUUAUGGCUCCUGGCUGUGACAGACUCCUGGACUGGAAAUGAAAAAGGUGCUGUUAAAACAAAAGCAGGCUAUCUGGGAUGUUGUAAACAAGAAUCCUCUUAUCACAGCUGCUAUCACCAUUGGCUGAUCGUUUGCUGGGAAAUUAGUGAAGCUGUAAUGGCUUCUGGGUUCAGCCUGGGACCUGUUGUGUCAGAAUUCAUCUGCUUGUUUACAGCACUUUGCAGGUAUGGCUACAAUGGCAAAGAUAGCGUGGAAUAAGGAUGGUUUUGCUCCUUUGCUAUUCCUCUGAGGUAGGAAGAAAGAGGGACUGGUAUAAACUUUCUUUUAGUCCUCUGUAACUAGGAGGGUACGGAUUUACACAAAAACUAUUUCUAUUCCACAGGGUGACUUUGAAAUAGGCUUAUAGUAAUUGCUUUAGAAGUUCUUUUGGAUCACUGCACCUCUCUACAUCCUUGUCUUUUGUGGCCUAUGUUAUUUUCUUGGUGUUUCUGGUGUUUGGUUUUUUCUCCGCUUGGCUCUUAUCCUUAAUCCGAGGAAAAUCUGGGGAACUGUUGUACUUUCAGCUCUCAGUAUAAACAAAUGUGAUGGUACCAAUAGCUGAAAUCAGAGCAACCAGCGAAUGAUUCUUCUCUGCC